ACCAUGCUGAAUAUACCGGUUCUCGUUAGAUCACCGAAGUCAAGCAUCAUUGGGCGCGGUCAGUACUUGGGUGGGUGACCACCUGGGAACAACA
rnacentral:rRNA from 1 species